UAUCUGUAUGUAAGGGGAGGGAGUUCUGGUCAACCCACUCAAGGCUCCGGGACAUCAUGGAAGAAAAGGCAGGAAGAAACAUGAGAGCAGGAAGAGUCAGGGUGUGGUGAAAAGCUGUCUUCUAGGCGUGACACCGCUGCCACACUCCGGAACUCACUACAGCUGUAGCACAUAAGCUCAAGACCUUCAAUAAUUACAGCAUGGAUGGGGGUAGAAUCUCAUGAGGCUCUGCCCCUAUCUGACCAGCUAUUGGCAAUUGAUGGCUGCUGGAGGAGGUAUUUUUCUUUAGGGAUGUGUUUGCUGGGUCUUCCUAUGUAAACCAGGCUGGCUCUGAACUCUCAGAGAUCCUCAACUCUGCUUGGAUAAUUUUUAAAAUUUAAGGACAAAAAAGAGAGAAGUGAGAACAAAACCAGAGAGGCUAAGCAUAUCACAGAAAGUCCAAGUGGGUCACAGAAAGACAUAGGGCAUAAAAGGUCAUGCUGGAGCACUGAGGGAAUUCAGGGCAGGAACUCAAACAGGAACUGAAGUGGAGACCAUGGAGGAACACUGACUACUGGCUUGCCCAGUCUACUUUCUUAUCCACCUCAGGACCAAGUGCCCAGAUCAGAACGCUGAAAGCAGCAGAUUUAUGGCGUGCUCCUGAGUUUAGCCUCCAGACCAAGCAGUGAUUAUACGGCCUUGUCUUAAUUGCCUCGCCAGUGAUAACUCUGAUGUUUGCAUCCCCGGAAUGCUUCUCAGACCUGCACCGAGGGAAUUACUUUCUUGGCACAAGUUGUGAAAAUGAAUGUGUGGGAUCUCAGGCCCCUCUUUUGGUGGGCACUUUAUUUACCUUUUAUUCUGGUUUUAAUACAUUUAAAUACACUUCCUCCCUAUGACUUUCCCGUAUCAUAUUCAGAUGACUAAAUGCAAUUCUUUAACCAACACGUGGAUUCACAGAAGUGUAUGUGUGUGUGUGUGUGUGUGUGUUCUAUAGGAUUUUUAAAGCUAGAAUCAUUGUACAUACAGCUUUGAGACCUGUUUUGUUCAUUUCUAUUCUAUCAAAAACUCUUCACACAUAUAUUUUCAUAAAAAUUAAAAAGUUGAUACUUUUCCAUCAAGUGGCUAAAUAACAGGUCUUUUCAUCUGUGAAAGCAAAAAUUUAAAUAUGUAGGUCAAUCCUGCCUUCUCAAUCUAUAAACUAAUCAGUAGAUGUACUCUGAGCUGGUACCUAAGGGCUAUUGCAAUCAGUAAAUUAUAUAGCAUGUCACACUUCAUCAAUUUUUACCAUAUUAACAGUGAUUACAUGAGUCUUAAGUUUCACGGGGAAAUCAAAUAAUUGACCGCAGCUGGCAAUAUUUUAUUUUACAUGGAACACCACUGCUGGGGAAUUUCAGCCUAACCUUUAACAGGACUUUAAUUGAUGACAAACAUCCAGGGGUAAUGCCUUGGACUGGCUGUUUUUCUCUCCUCUGCUAACUUCAUUUUGCCUCUGCAUAUUUUCAGAAGUACUUGCAAGUAUUACACAGCCUUCACUGAGGUCUAAGGGAACCCAGAAAUACAACCAGCUUUGUUCUGACAUGAAAAGCAAACCUUUGACCAUGCACAAUACCACACGGGCAUUUUCCAUGUCAGGGAUGCUUUGAAAUGAAUUUGAUCUCUCAGCUUUUAUGGCUACUCCAAAUCAUGAAGUGGGAACAGUAACAUCAAAGAGCAAGUUUUGAAUGUCAUGUGAUCUUGCCACAAUGUUUUUUAUAAGGAAGGAUGAAAUCAAAAUGAUUUGUGUAAAAGAGAAGUAAAAAUGUUUUUUACUAGUUAAGCUUAUAAUCUCCUACUGGGUCAGUGUGUUUUACUGGGAUCAAAUGAUUAAAUACAGAAGUACUCCGCUGAGUGUCAGUCACAGUGAAGGUUGCUUACUAUGUUUAUCCAUUCUGUGGGAAUAAGAAGAUGUGGUUGCAGUCAUUUUGGCAUUGGAAAGAAAACUCCAAUCCAUUUUGUUGGCACAGUCUCCUAAUUUAAAUCAGCAUGUUGUAUGAUAUAGACUUUAAUUAGGCUAAAAAGUAAUUCGUUUCCACUGAACACUAUAAGAAGAAGAAAAUAAAUAGCCAGGCACAUUCAUGAUUUACCUAAAACAGAGACACGGAAGCUCUCAUUACAGCUGCUUUUUACUUGUCAGAACAAAGAAUGUUGCUGUCUAUGGCAAAGGCACUGAAGGUCGUUGCCUGAGGGAGCACAAAUAAUCCUUCAAAACUUAGAUAACUGUACCCUGUCAUUCCUGAUUCUUAAAAUACAAUUGAACUGAAGUCAAAUGAAUAAAAAUAUUUUCACUUCUAAGAAAUAACGCAUGUACAUGUGCAUACAUAUACACUCUCCACAAAUUCUAGCUUCUAUAAAAUCAUGUAAUUUCUAAAACUCUGUUCAUCAAACAGGCUACAGUUUUUGGUGCCUGUGUCCAUAUAUAUGGCAUGAUAGAAAUCAUAGUAUAUUGUUUUCAAGUUUACAAUGUCUGCUUUUCGGAGGAAUAACUUUUAAAAUAACUGUUCUAUUUUUUUAGCAGCAGUUUUGACUUUCACUAUUUUCUGUAUCUUAUUUUCAAGAAAAUGUUGACUGGCAACUUUAAAUAAACUUUUCAAUUUUUCG